rnacentral:lncRNA from 1 species
AUCUGGGGACGUGGAAGAGGUAGCCGCUUUGGAUGUGGAAGAGAAUUUCUCUUGCCAUCUUCAAUCUUGAGCAAGUCACUUGUCCUUUCUGAUCCUCGGUUUCCUCAUCUGCAACAUGGGGAUAAAAACUCUUACCUGGCAGGAGUAUCAAGGAGAUUAUUGGUAAUAAUGCUCCCUCCUAACUGGUGGCUUUCUUCUCCCCUGCUCCUCUUCCCCCUGCCUAUCCUUGGGACGCUGCC